rnacentral:rRNA from 1 species
UACGGGGGGGGCGAGCGUUGUUCGGAAUCACUGGGCGUAAAGGGCGCGUAGGCGGCCCGCACAAGUCUGCGGUGAAAACCCCCGGCUUAACCGGGGGCCGGCCGUGGAAACUGUCGGGCUGGAGGCUGGGAGAGGGCAGCGGAAUUCCCGGUGUAGCGGUGGAAUGCGUAGAUAUCGAGAGGAACACCUGCGGCGAAGGCGG